GGUGGGAGGUUGGGCCCCGAGGGGCCCGCACUCGGNNUAUGNUNANCCUGCGGAAGGAUCAUUACCGAGUGCGGGCCCCUCGGGGCCCAACCUCCCACCCGUGUUGCCCGAACCUAUGUUGCCUCGGCGGGCCCCGCGCCCGCCGACGGCCCCCCUGAACGCUGUCUGAAGUUGCAGUCUGAGACCUAUAACGAAAUUAGUUAAAACUUUCAACAACGGAUCUCUUGGUUCCGGCAUCGAUGAAGAACGCAGCGAAAUGCGAUAACUAAUGUGAAUUGCAGAAUUCAGUGAAUCAUCGAGUCUUUGAACGCACAUUGCGCCCUCUGGUAUUCCGGAGGGCAUGCCUGUCCGAGCGUCAUUGCUGCCCUCAAGCCCGGCUUGUGUGUUGGGCCCCGUCCCCCCCGGCGGGGGGGACGGGCCCGAAAGGCAGCGGCGGCACCGCGUCCGGUCCUCGAGCGUAUGGGGCUUCGUCACCCGCUCUAGUAGGCCCGGCCGGCGCCAGCCGACCCCCAACCUUUAAUUAUCUCAGGUUGACCUCGGAUCAGGUAGGGAUACCCGCUGAACUUAAGCAUAUNAANNANCNNUGCCGAGUGCGGGCCCCUCGGGGCCCAACCUCCCACCGUGUUGCCGAACCNAUGUUGCCUCGGCGGGC
rnacentral:rRNA from 1 species